UGAGGAAUAUUGGUCAAUGGUCGAGAGCCUGAACCAGCCAAGUAGCGUGCAGGAUGACGGCCCUAUGGGUUGUAAACUGCUUUUAUGUGGGGAUAAAGUGCGUGACGUGUCAUGCAUUGCAGGUACCACAUGAAUAAGGACCGGCUAAUUCCGUGCCAGCAGCCGCGGUAAUACGGAAGGUUCGGGCGUUAUCCGGAUUUAUUGGGUUUAAAGGGAGCGUAGGCCGUUUGGUAAGCGUGUUGUGAAAUGUAGGAGCUCAACUUCUAGAUUGCAGCGCGAACUGUCAGACUUGAGUGCGCACAACGUAGGCGGAAUUCAUGGUGUAGCGGUGAAAUGCUUAGAUAUCAUGAAGAACUCCGAUUGCGAAGGCAGCUUACGGGAGCGCAACUGACGCUGAAGCUCGAAGGUGCGGGUAUCGAACAGG
rnacentral:rRNA from 1 species